rnacentral:ncRNA from 2 species
AAUUAAUCACAUGACUGGCGGAUUUGUGGAGUACCACAAGGGAAUGUGAGUUUGUUUAAAAGUCGACCGCCUGGGCUACAAUG